rnacentral:tRNA from 1 species
GCCGUCGUAGCUCAGUCGGUAGAGCAGCUCCAUGGUAGGGAGCAGGUCGCCGGUUCGACUCCGGCCGGCGGCUCCA